UAAGAAAGAGCUAUAUAAGCAGCUUAAUUUCGACUUAAGUAGUGGAUUUAGUAG
rnacentral:tRNA from 1 species